rnacentral:rRNA from 1 species
UACGAAGGGGGCUAGCGUUGCUCGGAAUCACUGGGCGUAAAGGGUGCGUAGGCGGGUCUUUAAGUCAGGGGUGAAAUCCUGGAGCUCAACUCCAGAACUGCCUUUGAUACUGAGGAUCUUGAGUUCGGGAGAGGUGAGUGGAACUGCGAGUGUAGAGGUGAAAUUCGUAGAUAUUCGCAAGAACACCAGUGGCGAAGGCGGCUCACUGGCCCGAUACUGACGCUGAGGC